CUAUAUCAUGCCAAAACACUGGUUCUUGUCCGAUUAGCAAAGUUAAGCAAUAUUGAUCCUGGUCAGUACCUAGAUGGGUGACUACUUGGGAAUACCAAGUGCUGUAAG